UAUUAAUGAUGAUUCUAUCCCGAACCUGAAUUCCUGUUGAAAAACUACAUAUACGGAUCUGGCUUCUGAGAU
rnacentral:snoRNA from 15 species